UACAGAGUUCCCAAGCGUUGUUCGGAUUCACUGGGCGUAAAGGGUGCGUAGGCGGUUAGGUAAGUCUGACGUGAAAUCUCCGGGCCUAACCCGGAAACUGCGUUGGAAACUACUUGACUAGAGGAAUGGAGGGGAGACUGGAAUACUUGGUGUAGCAGUGAAAUGCGUAGAUAUCAAGUGGAACACCAGUGGCGAAGGCGAGUCUCUGGACAUUUCCUGACGCUGAGGCACGAAAGCCAGGGGAGCAAACGGG
rnacentral:rRNA from 1 species